rnacentral:tmRNA from 1 species
GGGGGUGCAUUGGCGUUCGACGUGGGUGCGGAAGGUGAUGACUGCGUGCCGAGGCCCCGAUGCCGCGCAAAACGUCGGGAAAACACAGCUGCCAACGACAGCAACUACGGCCGUAUGGCCGUUGCCGCCUAAUAAGCGACACGUUCACGGGUGAGGUGCUUCAGUAGUUCGUGAACGUCGACACAGAAGCUAGCGACGCGGGAGCCCCGACCGCGACGCGAAACUCAGGGGAUCGCUCUCGAGAGGGCCUGCUGGCGGGCAUGCUCGAGGGCUAAACCAAGUACGCCGGCUACGCACGUAGAUGUCUCAUCGGAAGACUCGCGGACCCGGGUUCGACUCCCG